GAUGAAGAACGUAGUGAAAUGCGAUAAGUAAUGUGAAUUGCAGAAUUCAGUGAAUCAUCGAAUCUUUGAACGCACAUUGCGCCCCUUGGUAUUCCGAGGGGCAUGCCUGUUCGAGCGUCAUUAUAACCCCUCAAGCUCAGCUUGGUAUUGGGGCCUGCCAUCCUGGCAGCCCUUAAAAUCAGUGGCGGUGCCAUCCGGCUCUAAGCGUAGUAACUCUUCUCGCUAUGGAGUCCUGGUGGAUGCUUGCCAUUAAUCUUUUAACUUCUAUGGGUGACCUCGGAUCAGGUAGGGAUACCCGCUGAACUUAAGCAUAUCAAUAAGCGGAGGA
rnacentral:misc_RNA from 1 species